GCUUCAGUGGCCUAGUGGUUAGAGCGUCCAUAUAGGAUGCGGGAGGUCAUGGGUUCGAGCCCCAGUUGAGUCA